CCGCUCGCGCGCCUCUGAGAGGCUGUCCGCGCGCGCGCGUGUGUGCGUGAGUGUGGAUUUGCCGGGACUGGAGCUGGAAAGUUCAAACUAAACGUGUUGCUCUCGCCGAGUGCCGAGGCCGCGGCGGAGGCUGCCCAACUUCCCCGGGCCAAGUGAGUGGCGUUGCCCAGCGCCUUUGGCGAGGCGGCGGCCGCUCGGCCCUGCGCCCGGCCGCGGCGGCGGCGGCUCCGCUCGCCCCGGGAGGGAGCCCGCGGCCAGGGCUGGACUCUCGCCCCGCCACCUCCACCGACUCUCUCCUCAGCCUCCGCGCCUGGCACCGCAGCAAGACUUGAAUGAAGUGAUCAUGUAAACUAGAGAAAGGAGAUUAAAAAUAACCUCUGGAUAUUCCUCUCAUGUGAUCUUUAUUCUGGAUGAAGCAUUAGGACAGCUAAUAGCCGUGUGUCACUUGAAAAUGAAAGGUGGUGAAACUGGAGGCAAAAAAAAAAUGAAGCAAAGAUGCUUUUAUUUUCUUUACUCUGAAGUUAUUUUGCCGGUAGAAAAAUGAGGGAACAUUGAGAUAAUAAAAGAGCCUGCAGCUGUGAAGAAAAGCUCUCAGAAUUCUCAAAGACAAGAGCACAUAGUCUGAGAGGUUUUGCCACUGACAUUGCUAAAUUUGAAAACUCCAAAAUUCUUUCUGCAAUGUGUGAAGAGGACUAAGA
rnacentral:lncRNA from 1 species